rnacentral:rRNA from 1 species
AGUGAACGCUGGCGGUAGGCCUAACACAUGCAAGUCGAACGGCAGCACAGUAAGAGCUUGCUCUUACGGGUGGCGAGUGGCGGACGGGUGAGGAAUACAUCGGAAUCUACUUUUUCGUGGGUGAUAACGUAGGGAAACUUACGCUAAUACCGCAUACGACCUACGGGUGAAAGCAGGGGAUCUUCGGACCUUGCGCGAUUGAAUGAGCCGAUGUCGGAUUAGCUAGUUGGCGGGGUAAAGGCCCACCAAGGCGACGAUCCGUAGCUGGUCUGAGAGGAUGAUCAGCCACACUGGAACUGAGACACGGUCCAGACUCCUACGGGAGGCAGCAGUGGGGAAUAUUGGACAAUGGGCGCAAGCCUGAUCCAGCCAUACCGCGUGGGUGAAGAAGGCCUUCGGGUUUUAAAGCCCUUUUGUUGGGAAAGAAAAGCAGCAGGUUAAUACCCCGCUGUUCUGACGGUACCCAAAGAAUAAGCACCGGCUAACUUCGUG